GGGGAUUUAGCUCAGUGGUAGAGCGCUUACCUAGCAAGCACAAGGCCCUGGGUUCGAUCCCCAGCUCUG
rnacentral:tRNA from 1 species